UACGGAGGGUGCAAGCGUUAUCCGGAAUCACUGGGUUUAAAGGGUGCGUAGGUGGACUAGUAAGUCAGAGGUGAAAUCCCGUCGCUUAACGACGGAACUGCCUUUGAUACUGCUUGUCUUGAAUCAGGUUGAGGUAUGCGGAAUGUGGCAUGUAGCGGUGAAAUGCGUAGAUAUGCCAUAGAACACCGAUUGCGAAGGCA
rnacentral:rRNA from 1 species